rnacentral:lncRNA from 1 species
UCUGAUCAUAAUACUUCAAUUAAAAACUAAAAAACUAAAAUAAAAAGAUCAAAUUUUAGUCCAAAUUGUAUUUAUUAAUUUCUUGGGGCUCCCCAUGGUCUGGAUCUCUGGAGCAGAUCUCUGCAUCUUAGUCCUGCUUCUCCUUGUUGUUUCUAUAUUUUCCACAUCUCGAUAUUAACGCUUGGUAUUUUUUUGUUCCUGGGCCCAGGAUUCUCAUUCAUGUCAAACACCAUAUACAGUGGUACCUCGGGUUACAUACGCUUCAGGUUACAGACUCUGCUAACCCAGAAAUAGUACCUCGGGUUAAGAAGUUUGCUUCAGGAUGAGAACAGAAAUCGUGCUCCGGCGGCAGCAGGAGGCCCCAUUAGCUAAAGUGGUGCUUCAGGUUAAGAACAGUUUCAGGUUAAGUACGGACCUCCGGACUGAAUUAAGUACUUAACCCGAGGUACCACUGUACUUUCAUCAUCCGAAUAAAACUUUGUUAAUAUAAAAUUUUUCCAACUGCCUUUUUCUCAGCUCAGCUUCGUCUGAUUCCGUUCCAAUUCCGGGAUGUUGUCCAAGUCUGUUAUCUUUGAUGGGGCAGCAACUCCUUAAUUGUCCAACCUUCCUUUUGAACUUUGUUAAACCAGUACCUUCCAAAUUAAGUUAUUAGGCAAAACUGUUUGCAAUAUUAAACUGUGUUCCACAGUAUCAGUCAUUUGGCGAUCGAUCGGCCUUUGGAAACCGCACUGUCCCCACUCUGGGCCCUGGGGGGGGGGGGCUGCUAGACAUUCCUUAGCCUUUUCUUUCGCUCAUAAUGAAUAUAAAAAGCUUCUGCAAACAGCUGCACUGUGUAUUGUUCAAAGUAGUUAUCUUGAUUCAUCACACAGUCAGUCAGCACACAGCUCCUCUUAUCUCAAAGAAAGGAAGAGAUAUAAAAAUUCAUGCUGUGUCACUAGUAGAAACUAGUGGAAACCAUCGUGUCUCUUCCUGCAUCUCUGUCAGAUCUCUCAAAUCCGAAAUGAAGCUGAGCGGUUAAAUGCCUAAUUAUAAAUAAAAGUCCAUCUGUACUUGUUUUUUUAAAGUUUAAAUUCUUAAUGAGGCUUCAAUUGCUAGACGAGCAUGGAGCCGAGCCAUUUCCUACACCCUCCACCUAUUAGCAUCGG